AUGGUGUUCUCUGCACCGGUGGCCUACCUGACUCAUCAGCAGAAGGUGUUGUGGUUUUAUAAGCGGGCGCUAAGUCACCUCAAGUCGUGGUGUGUCCACAGGGACAAAUACUGAUACUUCACUUGUUUGAUGAGAGCCCGGUUUGAAGAACAUAAGAAUGAAAAGGAUAUGAUGAAGCCCACCCAGCUGCUGAGGGAGGCUGAGGAAGAUUUCUGGUACCAUGAGCAUCCACAGCCAUACAUCUUCCCUGACUCUCCUGGGGGUAUCUCGUAUGAGAGACAGGAGUGUUACAAGGUUCCAGAAAACUGCUUGGAUGCCUGGCAUCCUUCCCAGAAGGCAAUGUAUCCUGAUUACUUUGCCAAGAGAGAAAGGGGAAGAAACUUCGGGGAGAAAGCUGGGAAAGAGAUUAAACAGCUGGAGGAGGAAAUGCCACCUGGUGGUCCUCUGACUGAAGCUUUGACUCCUGUCCAAAAGGAAGGUGAUUUGCCCCCACUGUGGUGGCAUAUUGUGACCAGAUCCCGGGAGCGCCAGUGUAGAGAGACAGGGAGACCUCAUCUUUCAUGCUUGCAAGUGAAAUACGUUACAGAACAUACACUUGCCCUAAUAAAAAAAAAUCAGUGAAAUAGUAAAAAAAAAAAAAA